GGGUGCCUGCCAGAAGGCUGGGGGCGGGGGGACACACAACGAAUGCGUUUCUCCUCUUAAGUGUUAGGAAAUUCUGCAUGAAGGAAAAGGUGCGGGGCCGGGGCAAUCUGUGCUGAGCCCCAGGACCUCCCGCGUGCAAAGCCAGCCUGCUGCACUUGAAGUAAACAGACACACACGCCCCUGGCCAUGUGCGCUAAUUGGCGGUCACUGCGGUCAGAGCCAAGGCUGAGAUAAGGAAGUAGUCACAACAGCAAUUCCCAUGGGCUGAAAUUCCUGUCCCUCUGAACAACGCUAACACCACGACGGCCCCGUACUGACAAGGGCCAAGAGCAGGGCCACGGACGAGGGCACCCUGCCUUUGUUUUCGGCUCCAGGGUUUUGUGCAACAGAAUCACCAUUCAAUCCAUCCACUGCUAAUUAUGAGAGCACAGUAAACCUCAGGGCUUAAUUCACCAGAAAGAGUGAUGGAGACAAAGUUACAAUGUCAGCUCUUCCCGGGUUUUGAGUCUUCUGGCUUUCACACUGGACCAUCAGCUCUCCUGGUUCUCUGGCCUUCAGACUCAGAUGAACUAUGCCACCAGCUCUUGGGUCUCCAACUUACAGAUCAUAGAUCUCGGGACCUGUCAGCCUCCAUAACUGUCUGCCUUACAGGACAGAAUUAGAGAAUCCAAACAGGAAGACCACAGCACACUCCAUCCUGCAUAACAUUUACUGAGCAACUAGUACGUGUGCUAUUCUGGGAUGCAACAGGACGAAAUCCCCAGCACUAACUAAGGUGCCCCCCACACAGUGAAGGAAGAGAAGCAUUUGAUGCCAAUAGAUAUGCUAGAGUUCACAAUGAAGUGGCCUAAGCAUGCUCAUUAAGUAGAUAUAAUCCCUCUACUGAAAAAUCCUAAACCAAAGUCUAAUUAAAGAAAAAAAAAAUCAAAACUAAUUUCUCUAAUAAAAACAGUUGUCACGG